rnacentral:rRNA from 1 species
AUUGAACGCUGGCGGCAGGCCUAACACAUGCAAGUCGAGCGGUAACACAGAAGAGCUUGCUCCUUGGGUGACGAGCGGCGGACGGGUGAGUAAUGCCUGGGGAUCUGCCCGAUAGAGGGGGAUAACUACGGGAAACUGUAGCUAAUACCGCAUAACGUCUACGGACCAAAGUGGGGGCUCUUCGGACCUCAUGCUAUCGGAUGAACCCAGGUGGGAUUAGCUAGUUGGUGAGGUAAUGGCUCACCAAGGCGACGAUCUCUAACUGGUUUGAGAGAAUGACCAGUCACACUGGAACUGAGACACGGUCCAGACUCCUACGGGAGGCAGCAGUGGGGAAUAUUGCACAAUGGGCGCAAGCCUGAUGCAGCCAUGCCGCGUGUGUGAAGAAGGCCUUCGGGUUGUAAAGCACUUUCAGCGAGGAGGAAGGGUUACUAGCUAAUACCUAGUGACAUUGACGUUACUCGCAGAAGAAGCACCGGCUAACUCCGUGCCAGCCGCCGCAGUAA